GCCGCUUCUUGAGGUCGGUUAGGGUUUCGGCGGGUUCCAAAAUCCCAUUUUGAACGGGCGGGAAGGUAGAAUUGGAUUCUCCGCCACCACUCCUUAAGGUUGGUCCGAGUCUAGGGUCGCCGUGGUCUCCAAGAUCGCAUCUUUCUGCGAAGGAGCGUCGGAAUCGGGAUCCUCCGCCGGUGGAAUUGGGGUUGAAGCUGGGAUUAUGGUUGUGGGUCGCCGGAGGUAAGGCCGAGGGAGUGAGGAGACGUUAAGGUUGGUCCGAGUCUAGGGUCGCCGUUGUCUCCAAGAUCGCAUCUUUCUGCGAAGGAGCGUCGGAAUCGGGAUCCUCCGCCGGUGGAAUUGUGGGUCGCGGGAGGUAAGGCCGAGGGAGUGAGCAGACGUUAAGGUUGGUCCGAGUCUAGGGUCGCCGUGGUCUCCAAGAUCGCAUCUUUCUGCGAAGGAGCGUCGGAAUCGGGAUCCUCCGCCGGUGGAAUUGGGGUUGUUGUGGUCAAUCCCCUCGUCGCCUCAUCGUCGAGAAUGAGCACCUGCAAAGAAAAGUUCAUAUUGAUCGGAGAUACCUCCGACGGAGACCCUCCGAUGAUCAAAUCAGUGAGAAAACUAGAUAACAGUAGAGAGGAAUCAAGAGACUCAACG
rnacentral:lncRNA from 1 species